rnacentral:tRNA from 1 species
GUGGGUAUAACUUAAUGGCAGAGCGCAUGCUUAGCAUGCAGGAGGUCCUGAGUUCAAUCCCCAGUACCUCCG